CGGCUAGGCAAUUUCCGUACGUUUUUCUUGUGCUGAACAAACACUUUAGCAAGAGAAAACAUGGAUGUUUUCUCUAACCUCAGCCAGUACAGGGAUGUAAUGUCUGAGGUGGUGCGUAAAAAAGUGGUUGGGCAGUGCAAGAAUAAAAAACGUGUCGGAACGGCAUUCUUU
rfam:Psychromonas ingrahamii 37, complete genome.